ACGGUGUUAAAAACAAUCUUUACUGGCAACGUUAGCUGGCAUUUUAUGAACAGGUGUCCCUUAUGCACGGUCAAGAGAGGAAAAUCAUAUUGCCUUCAACAUGGCUUCAAUAGACUUCAAUACCUUCAUCCAGAAGACACUGUAGGAAAACAAAAUCAUGAAUCAGAGAUGGAAAACAAACACUAUUGAAACAGGAAAACAGAGUUUAAUUUUACAUAAAUGAGAUUGAAAAGAGAUGGAUACCAUCAUCCUCAACCUGCACUGCACCAAAGCCACAUAAAUGAGAGCCAACCAUCAAGAACAAUCACCACACCGGUCUCGCCUAACCAUCGAACCCACUCCCUUCCUAGCAACCACUGGUUCCCCAUCAUUAUCUCGUCAAUCCAUUUUAACACACUAUCAUCAUCACAGCAGAAUACCACAGAAUGAAACCAACCGUACCUAUUCUCUAUUCAUCCCUCACCUGCGUCAAAUGAGACCAACCCAAAAAAACCAGAUUCAAUACCUUAGUGCUGGUUUCGUUUUCUUGAGUCUCGGAAGAACACAGGUUUCAUCCAUAAACAGUUUCCCCCAAAUUUUGAUUCCCCUCAUCUGCGAAAGAGAUGAAGCAAACCCAACUGUUUUGAGUUGCUCACGGCGCCAUCAUCGUCGCUCUUCACAUUGUUCCUCUCGGUCUGGGUAAUUCCGAUUCCCUACCUACCUUCUUCCCCCCUUUGCUUUAGAGUGUUAAGGUUGGAAAUUCCCCCAAUCCGCAAGUUACGUGAGUCGAAAUAGCAACCCCUUUGGUGGUGGCGACCACGAACGCGAAGAGGAGGAAAGGAUUUUCCUUGUUGGCGACUCACAGUAGCUGUGACUUGUGGAUUCAGUGGCGGCGACUUCCUUCUCUUUGGCGACGACGACUCCGGUGAGGAUCAGGAGAUAGAAAUAGAAUAGAAGAGGGGAAGGGCUUCCCUGCUCGCAAGCGAAGGUGAAAGGCGGUGGCGUGCCCAGGAGACGAUCCACGAAGGAGAGAGCGGUCUCUCUCGCGCAAUGAAUGGAGGAAGGGCCUUGUGCCGGAGUUGAUGGUGGCUCCGGCGUCACGCGAAGUCGCCGGUGAAAAAAAUUGAAGCUUUUGGAGGUCGACCUGGAUAUGGUUUCUUCAGAGGGUUGUGUGAGAGUUCAAUCGGUGAAAGGGGAAGAGGGUAUGGGAAACGGUUCUGGCAGCUUUCCUUGUCCAGGGUGGUGGCGUGAUGGCCGGUGCGAAGAAAGCGGCAGCUGCUCCGGCGGAAAUCUUACAAAAGAAAAUCACACUUUUGGUCCUGGUAUCCACAUGGCAGACCACGUCAUGACACCUCUAGAAUGACAAUUACUGUUGCCAACAAAGAUUGUUUUUAACACCGUUUGAAAAAGUUAACGGAAUGUCUUUGAUUGAUUUAAUUUUACAAAUUUAGAGACCAAAUUAAUCAUUUUAAGAAAACGGGGACCUAAUUGAAGAAAACCAACAAAAUUAGGGACCAAUGAAUCUAUU
rnacentral:lncRNA from 1 species